GUGGCUGGAUUUAAAUGGUCAAAAAUCUACUUUUAAAGUCAUGUUUUCUAAACAAUCCAAACACAAUACAGUAGAGAUUAAUCUGAGUUUCUGGGAUUAUAUGCUGUGCAUAUGCAUCAAUAUGUGCAAGAGAGUCAUCAUAAAUAACAAUUUAGGUACAUGAGAGAUGACAGCAAAGCUAUUUUUGAAGUUUAUUUUACUUCUGCAAAGUCUCAACCAAGCCAUGUUUAAGGGAUGAGAUGGUGUGGGAAAUGUGGGCUAACUCCUGAAGACCCUGCUCUUCAGAGAGCAUCUUCUAAACUAGCACGCUCCCUGCACCCGUCCCCCCUCUCUACUGUCCACUCCUUGUUUCCUCCUCUCCAUGAUUGAUGUCAAGUUGUUGUUAUUGUUUGCCUCAAGGGCAACAUGCCGAUUAUCACUUGUAAGUCGCUUUGGAUAAAAGCGUCUGCUAAAUACACUGUUAGACGCGGCUGUAAUUUCUACAGUAAUUUACCACAUAUCUUACAGUACUAAACUGUAAAACAAUUUCUACAGUUAGUAACUGUAAUUUGCAUUGCACCAUGGGAGUUUGAAGUCACGUGGUAAUUAGUUUACAGUUUGCUACUGUAGUUUAUGAAAAUACAGUAAGGUACUAUAAACUGAAAGUUAUUUCAAUAUUUUUACUGUAAUUUAUCAAUACGAAGCUGUAAAGUUAUUUACGUCACCUGACAAGGAACGAUUGCAUCAGCCGAGUUACCAGAUUUACAAUUUAGUACUGUAAAAUUACAGUUAUUAUAAAAUUACAGUAAGUAGCUGUUAUUAACGGUCAUUUUUGCAUUUAAUAAUUUAGUUUGUUAAAUCCUUCAAGACGGAGAACCGCCAUUUUGUCGUAAAGAGCAGUCAUUGUAACCACAGUUCACCGGCACACGAGCAAGUGUGGGACAUACACGGAAAAGACUACACCUGCAGCGCUUAUAAUUUCUCCAGCGAAAAGACCAAGUUCCACCAAGUACCGACUAUCCAAGGAACCACAUACCUUGAGGCAACCAAGUGGAUGGUGAGCAUCGAGGGAAAGGUGGCCUACAUUUUAGAUGAGGACCUGGGUUUUGCGGAUGCACUUUCUGUGUUGAUGGCAAGCUUCUAUGCUUUCAAUGUGGAAUACCAGGAGCCUGCAUGUGCAACACUGGAGUUCAUUCAACGAUUCUUCUUGAGAAUCAAUCCUGAAGAUGGGAGCAAAUGCACGACACGGACUGGAGUUAGUCGCAAGACCGGACAGUUGGUCAAAAGAAAAUCAGCCACCAUGAACCCCAGAGUGCUGUCCUUCCUUUGCCACCUAACAGAGUUUGAGUGGAAGAACAUGGAAUAGGACCACUGGGGCAACAGACGAGGGGACAACAUUCUGGCCAGGUUCUUCACCCAUCAGAAUCAGUAAAAAAAACAAGCACUAUUUCAUUCUGUUCUUGAGAACUACAGUUCUGCAGGUUUUGUAUGUUUCCUGAUGCAGCAUAUGCUCAUAGAUUGCACUAUCCAUUGCACUGUUAUUACUUAGUUUAUUAAUUCAUUUAUUAAUUUGUUAUUGUAAUAUUUUUCAAUGCAGAUUUCUAACAGCAAAUGUUGCACUGUUACAUUGUUAACAAAUGUUUUUGUAUUGUGAAAAGCAAUGUAUUCUACUCUUUCAAUUGCUGAUCCAUUGAAAUUUUUUUCUGUUAAAUCAGUGAGGAAAAACAUUUUGUAACCAGCCCAAUUGCUCCCCUGUUCUGGUAGUAUUUUGUUUUCUUUAGCUUACCAUAAACAAUGUAAGUGAAUGUUAAUGGCUAGCAUUUAGUGUAAUAAAUAUUAACAGCAAAUUAAAAUAAUAACACAAAGGAAUAAUAGGAGCCUGUUUAGACCUCGUGCUACAUCACAACACAGCAUCGCUGUAAGUCGAUGUUAAAAGGCACAGUAACAUAUUGCAGUGACCAUAAAGCUCCUAGUUUGCUGUCUUAAAGUUUACUCUUAUAACAUUUACAACAUUUCACCCCGUGAAUUAUGAGAACAAUGAGUUUUGGGCUGCAGUAUCAUUAUCUUAUGCCUUUCUGCGCUAGCUGACAGCACAACUAUAAAUAGACUCCUGUAAUCCCUUUGUGUUCUUUAUUAUUGUCAGUUGAAGUCAUUAUGAUUAUUGAGGUCUCCAAGAAAAAUUAGGAUUAUUAUUGAGUAAUAUUCAUGACUUUUGUCACAGUAAAUGCUAGCUGUUAACAUUCACUUACAUUGUGUAUGCUAAGCUAAAGCUAACACUGCCAGAAAUGGAUGACUGAGCUGGUUACAAAAUAUUUUUCCCUACUGAUCUAACUCUGGGGAAUACAACAAAAGACUACAGUUCAUUUAUGGGUGGAAUAUCCCUUCAAAGAAACUUUGUUCGUGUACUGAACAAUUACUCGUGUUAGUUACUGUUUACAAACUAUAAACUAAUCAAUACACUAUAUGUCUUAUAAUAGUAAUACUUCAAAGUUAAUGAGUAAAGGUUAGUUUGCCUGUUUCUGAUGUUCUAUAAGCUGUAAAAUGUUUUAUUUUUUCCAGUAAUGAUUUGAGGUGAAUUUCUAAUAUUUUGAAUGAGAUUUUUUUUCUACAUAAGAUAACCUCUAAUGUUUUUUAUGUUUCAGGUGUUCGAAAUAAAGAAUCCUAUGUUUUGUAAGAGAAGUUUGUUUUGAUUUAAUAUAACUGUUUAAGUCAAUUUAGGAAAACUUUAAGAUCAUUCAUUAAACUUUUAAAUUAUUUUAUUACAAUUUUAAUUAUUAUUAAACAGUCUACAAGUAUGAACAAAAAAAUGGUACAACACUACUGUAAGAAACACUUUUUUUACAGUAGUGGUCCUAUACCUCAUUUUAAUAUAUACAGUACCAUAACUGUUAUUUUACAGUUCUAUUACUGUUAUUUUACAGUAUGGUCUCAGUUACUGUAAAACUGAAAUACA